ensembl:lncRNA
GUCAGGACUCUGACUGGGCCACUCCAGAAGGUCAGGACUCUGACUGGGCCACUCCAGAAGGUCAGGACUGACUGGGCCACUCCAGAAGGUCAGGACUGACUGGGCCACUCCAGAAGGUCAGGACUCUGACUGGUCCACCCCAGAAGGUCAGGACUCUGACUGGGCCACUCCAGAAGGUCAGGACUCUGACUGGGCCACUCCAGAAGGUCAGGACUCUGACUGGGCCACUCCAGAAGGUCAGGACUCUGACUGGACCACUCCAGAAGGUCAGGACUGACUGGGCCACUCCAGAAGGUCAGGACUCUGACUGGGCAACUCCAGAAGGUCAGGACUCUGACUGGGCCACUCCAGAAGGUCAGGACUCUGACUGGGCCACUCCAGAAUGUCAGGACUCUGACUGGACCACUCCAGAAGGUCAGGACUGACUGGGCCACUCCAGAAGGUCAGGACUCUGACUGGGCCACUCCAGAAGGUCAGGACUCUGACUGGGCCACUCCAGAAUGUCAGGACUCUGACUGGACCACUCCAGAAGGUCAGGACUGACUGGGCCACUCCAGAAGGUCAGGACUGACUGGGCCACUCCAGAAGGUCAGGACUGACUGGGCCACUCCAGAAGGCGUAUUUUUUUCUGUUCAAGCCAUUCUGUUGUUGAUUUACCUUUGUAUUUUGGGUAGUUGUCCUGUUGCAUCACCGAACUUCUGUUGAGCUUCAAUUUGCCGACAGACUCAUUCUACUGCAAAAUGUCUUGAUAAACUUGGGAAUACAUUUUUCCGUCGAUGAUAGCAAGCUGUCUAGGCCCUGAGACAGCAUAGCAGUCCCAAACCAUGAUGCUCCCUCCACCAUACUUUACAGUUGGGAUGAGGUAAUUGAUGUUGGUGUGCUGUGCCUUUUUAUCUCCACACAUAGUGUUGUGUGUUCCUUCCAAACAACACAACUUUAGUUUAAUCCGUCCACAGAAUAUUUUGCCAGUAGCGCUGUGGAAUAUCCAGGUGCUCUUUUGAAAACAUCAGACGUGCAGAAAUAUUUUUUGGGGACAGCAGUGGCUUCUUCCAUGGUGUCCUCCCAUGAACACCAUUCUUGUUUAGUGUUUUACGUAUUUUAGACUCGUCAACAGAGAUGUUAGCGUCUUCCAGAGAUUUCUGUAAGUCUUUAGCUGACACUCUAGGAUUCUUCUUAACCUCAUUGAGCAUUCUGCGCUGUGUACUUGCAGUCAUCUUUGCAGGACGGCCACUCUUAGGGAGAGUAGCAAUAGUGCUGAAAUUUCUCAAUUUAUAGACAAUUUGUCUUACUAUGGACUGACUUUUAGAGAUACUUUUGCAACCCUUUCCAGCUUCUGACAUUUUUUGUUCAAGGCAUGGUUCACAUCAGGCAAUGCUUCUUGUGAAUAGCAAACUCAAAUUUUGUGAGUGUUUUUUAUGGGGCAGGGCAGCCCAAAUGAAUAUCUCCAAUCUCGUCUCAUUGACUCGACUCCAGGUUAGUUGACUGCUGACUACAAUUAGUUUUUGGAGAAGUCAUUAGCCUAGGGGUUCACAUACUUUUUCCAACCUACACUGUGAAUGUUUAAAUGAUGUAUUCAAUAUGGACGAGACAAAUACAAAAAUGUGUGUGUUAGAGUGUUGGACUAGUAACCAGAAGGUUGCAAGUUCAAAUCGCUGAGCUGACAAGGUACAAAUCUGUCGUUCUGCCCCUGAACAGGCAGUUAACCCACUGUUCCUAGGCCGUCAUUGAAAAUAAGAAUUUGUUCUUAACUGACUUGCCUAGUAAAAUAAAGGAAAACAAUAAAUAAAAUAAGCACACUGUGUUUGUCUAUUGUUGUGACUUAGAUGAAGAUCAGAUCAAAUUUUAUGUUACAUUUAUGCAGAAAUCCAGGUAUUUCCAAAGGGAUCACCUACUUUUUCUUGCCACUAUAUAUAAAAUGGAUGUAUUCGUUAGCAACGAGUGGAGGACAGA